UGGUUGAAAAUGGAAGUUGAUGGUUUAAUUUGAGUGAGGUUUUUGGCGUUUUCUUAGACUGUUGCCCUUUCGCUUCAUCAUCAUUUCGCACACUACAAAUAAAAGUGUAACAGAAACGAGAGAGAGGGAUCUGCAGAUUGAAGAAGCUCUACAUGAGAAAGAGAGAGAGAGAGAGAGAGAGAUCUGAAUUUGAAGAAGCUCUACAUGAGAGAGAGAGAGAGAGAGAUCUGCAGAUUGAAGAAGCUCUACAUGAGAGAGAGAGAGAGAGACAGCCACAUUACGAUCAAACUACCGAUCGAGAGUGACCGACAAGGGAUCAGAUUGAUGAAGAAGCUCUACAUCUACUGCAACUUCAACGUCAUCCUCAAGUAGUGAAGAUGAUCACCUAGAUCUAUCUAUAUAUAUCAUAAUGCAAAUGAAAACUAUGUGUACGUGGACUUUUCCCAGUUAGAUUUUCAUAAAUAUUGCUCAAUUUCAGCACUAAUUCAACCGUGAAAUACAUUGAUACGUAGGCAAUAUAAUUAAGCAAGCUUCA